rnacentral:lncRNA from 1 species
AGAGUCACCUCUGCUUUCAGCCAGGAUGUCCACUUGGGGGGGUACUGCUACCAGAAGUAGAAAUGGCCCUAGGACCCUACAACCUUCACCCCACUCUGUCUUCCCUUGAAAUCAGCCUGCCACUCCACGAGGGGAGCAGAGCCCACAGGAGCCUAGAGCUAAGGGACAUUUCUAGCCACCAUGAGCAGGAACGGCGGGGGGUGGGGGGGAAGAGCCUGGUAGGGUGGCACGCCAGGAGCGGGCACUCCCCUUACCUGUUCUUCCUUUAAAUAACCACCCGCCCUCCCUCAGGACCAGCCCGGAAGUCUCUCCAAGAGCCCCAAAGUCCAGGAACCCCCACCCAAGGAUUCAGACACAGAACCCACAACCCAGGGCCCCUCGGAACGCCCACUCCAGGCUUGCGGACCAACAAGCGGCCGAGAUGAGGGUCCGCUGCUGAGGUCGGAGGCCGAGCUGCGCCCUUCUGCGCGGAGCGCCCUCCCCGCCCCUCGUCCUAAUUUAGAUCCCACACCUGCUCGCCUUUCCUGCUUCCGGAACCCACGCUGGACCCCCACCCCUCCAGACAGCCUCCUUGUCACUGGCCAGAUCCUUCCCCCGACCCAGUGCUGUUCCCCUGGGUGCAGCGUGUCCCUGUGCUCACGCUCUCAGUCCCUCUUUACCUUAGGAAGGGACAGGCCUUUUCCCAGCCGCGGUGGAUGGCUGGAUUGGCGCUUUCAUCUCGGUUACUCUGUGUGUGGUGUCCUGGAACGGUUGUGUGACAGCCCUCUCCCCUCAAG